rnacentral:rRNA from 1 species
AUGAACGCUGGCGGCGUGCCUAGCACAUGCAAGUCGAGCGGAGAUACAUGUCUAAGAGAUUUCGGUCGAAUUAAUGUAUCUAGCGGCGGAUGGGUGAGGAACGCGUGGAGAACCUGCCCUUCACAGGGGGAUAACAGCUGGAAACGGCUGUUAAUACCGCAUAUGCUCACAGGAUCGCAUGAUCCAGGGAGGAAAGCCGAGACGGUGAAGGAUGGCUCCGCGUCGGAUUAGCCAGUUGCGGGGUAACGGCCCACCAAAGCGAUGAUCCGUAGCCGGCCUGAGAGGGCGACCGGCCACAUUGGGACUGAGACACGGCCCAAACUCCUACGGGAGGCAGCAGUGGGGGAUAUUGCACAAUGGGGGGAACCCUGAUGCAAGCGACGCCGCGUGAAGGAGGAAGUGCUUCGGCAUGUAAACUUCUAUCAGCAGGGAAGAAGAUGACGGUACCUGACUAAGAAGCCCCGGCUAACUACGUGCCAGCCGCCGC